UCUCUUUUCCCUUUUCCCUUUUCACUCCCCUCGUUGGUGCCCCACUCUCGUGUCCUGUCUCUCUCUCUCCUCUAAUGAUAAUGGCAGUGGAAUCCGGGCGCCGAGAUAAAAAGAGUCAUGUCGCCAUGGCAACAGCAAAAAUGACCCAAUUCCACUCGCUCUGCACUGACCUUUUAACACAUCUUAUGAGCCGAAAGUAUCACGAAGGCGACCACUCACCUGUCCAGAGCUUGGUCGAUGGAUUGACAGCUGCUUGACAGCGAAUUGCCUGCACUCCCAAAGGGAUCCAACAUCUAAAAUGUGACAACAAGAAUUGAGUACCAGUCCUGAUGGUCAACCUCCAGACAGUUUUUUGAGGAGGCUGUGUGGGAGAGAAGGGGUGCAACAACUCUAUCGGGAUGUUGAAGAGGAUGUACAGUGUAAAGAAGAGUUUGGGGAAAACUGCUGUAGAAGAAUCCAAAAGGCAUUUAAGGGUGUGCGCGGGAGAGGGGUGCACCAACUCUAUUGGGAUGUUGACGGGAAGUGAGGCUUAAAAGGUUUGGUCAAGAUUUUUGUAAA